CCAAUAAAAUGUACACCUUAUUAUGUUUGGAAGUCAGCAUGACCGCAACUUGAGCACCUGAAGUACACAUAAAGAAAUGAGAGCUGCAGGGAAAAGUGGCUCUCUCUGAGAUGAAAGAAGAUGUUC